UACGGAGGGGGUUAGCGUUGUUCGGAAUUACUGGGGCGUAAAGCGCGCGUAGGCGGAUUGGAAAGUUGGGGGGUGAAAUCCCGGGGGCUCAACCCCGGAACUGCCUCCAAAAACUUCCAGUCUGGAGUUCGAGAGAGGUGAGUGGAAUUCCGAGUGUAGAGGUGAAAUUCGUAGAUAUUCGGAGGAACACCAGUGGCGAAGGCGGCUCACUGGCUCGAUACUGACGCUGAGGUGCGAAAAGUGUGGGGGAGCAAAACAGG
rnacentral:rRNA from 1 species